rnacentral:lncRNA from 1 species
AAGAUAGAGCAUAAAGAGGUACAGAAAAAAGCAUUGAUUGUAAGAGUGGAGCUUUAGCUACUAUUGAUAAAGCCUUCCACUGUCAAGAAGAGAUUCUUUGAGGAACUUUGUGGAUCGUAUAAGUAAAAUCAGUAGACUGAAGGGUAGACCUAGAUAACAGCAAAUCUAAAUAUUGCCAGCCAGUCCUUUUUUUCGGAAUUUGCAAAAGAGCAGAAAUUGGAUGCUCAAGAGAAGAGAGAGU